rnacentral:rRNA from 1 species
CAACCAUUACGCCAGCAUCCUAGCCGAAGCGCGGACCUCAGUCCCGGCUGGCCGUAUUACACCCUGGGCUAUAACACCUCCACCGAAGUGGAGGCCACAUUCCCAGAGCCUUUAUCCGGCCGCCGAAACUGAUGCUGGCCUGUCCAAACUGAGUAAACCGGUCAGAAGACCGGCCGAACAGUUUAAACAAGUCUGAUUGCAAGCGCUUCCCUUUCAACAAUUUCACGUGCUUUUUAACUCUCUUUCCAAAGUGCUUUUCAUCUUUCGAUCACUCUACUUGUGCGCUAUCGGUCUCUCGCCAAUAUUUAGCUUUAGAAGAAAUUUACCUCCCAUUUAGAGCUGCAUUCCCAAACAACUCGACUCGUCGAAGGAGAUUUACAUAGGGUGCCAUUUCCUGUCACAUACGGGAUUCUCACCCUCUAUGACGUCCUGUUCCAAGGAACUUAGACAGGCGGCUUCCCCAAAUCAUCCUCUACAAAUUACAAUGCGAACCCGAAGGCUAGCUUUCAAAUUUGAGCUGUUGCCGCUUCACUCGCCGUUACUAGGGCAAUCCCUGU